GGUAUGUACUGGUCUUACUGAUUCCUCUUCCUGAUGAACCGUAAUGCAUUAAUUUGGUGUUGCGGGAGACUGGACUGUUACUUUGAAAAAUUAGAGUGUUUAAAGCAGGCUAACGCUUGAAUACAUUAGCAUGGAAUAAUGAAAUAGGACGUUCGAUCUUAUUUUGUUGGUUUCUAGGAUUGACGUAAUGAUUAAUAGGGAUAGUUGGGGGCAUUAGUAUUCAAUUGUCAGAGGUGAAAUUCUUGGAUUUAUUGAAGACUAACUACUGCGAAAAGCAUUUGCCAAGGAUGUUUUCAUUAAUCAAGAACGAAAGUUAGGGGAUCGAAGACGAUCAGAUACCGUCGUAGUCUUAACCAUAAACUAUGCCGACUAGGGAUCGGAUGAUGUUAAUUUUUUAAUGACUCAUUCGGCGCCUUACG
rnacentral:rRNA from 1 species